rnacentral:rRNA from 1 species
UACGUAGGCGGCAAACGUUACUCGGAAUCACUGGGCUUAAAGGGCGCGUAGGCUGUAUGACAAGUUGGAGUUGAAAUCCGGCGGCUCAACCGUCGAAUAGGCCCCAAUACUGUCGUACUCGAGUCGCGGAGGGGUUGCUGGAACUCGUGGUGUAACGGUGGAAUGUAUAGAUAUCACGAGGAACACCAAUGGCGAAGGCAGGCAACUGGCCGAUGACUGACGCUGAGGCGCGAAAGCUAGGGGAGCAAACAGG